UUCAACCGAGGCACAAAAAAAAUAAAGGUAAGAAGUCAACCACCCCUUGCAGCCAUUUACAUUUAUCGAGAAUGUCCACCAGCAUCUAUCUCCCUUCUUCAGAUCUGCGCGCCACGACAUGCGUCCAUCGUCCUCGAACUAGAUCGAAGCAGGUGGCAGCAUCAGCGCCGCAAAAGACUCCGUCAUGCCUUGUGUGCAUCGCAGUGAAACAUCAAAGCAACUCAGGACGAUACAAAAAUGGAGUAUCUACUCGACAAGUUCUCCUGAUUCAGGUUUAGCACAUCCCGAUCGAGUCUUUUUAGCAUCUUCGGUUCCGAUAAAGUGAAUCUAAAUUGAGGGGGUA